UACGGGGGGGGCAAGCGUUGUUCGGAAUUACUGGGCGUAAAGGGCUCGUAGGCGGCCAACUAAGUCCGACGUGAAAUUCCCAGGCUUAACCUGGGAACUGCGUCGGAUACUGGAUGGCUUGAAUCCGGGAGAGGGAUGCGGAAUUCCAGGUGUAGCGGUGAAAUGCGUAGAUAUCUGGAGGAACACCGGUGGCGAAGGCGGCAUCCUGGACCGGCAUUGACGCUGAGGAGCGAAAGCCAGGGGAGCAAACGGG
rnacentral:rRNA from 1 species